rnacentral:rRNA from 1 species
GAUGAACGCUGGCGGCGUGCUUAACACAUGCAAGUCGAACGGAAAGGCCCAAGCUUGCUUGGGUACUCGAGUGGCGAACGGGUGAGUAACACGUGGGUGAUCUGCCCUGCACUUCGGGAUAAGCCUGGGAAACUGGGUCUAAUACCGGAUAGGACCACGUCUUGGAUGUUGUGGUGGAAAGUUUUUUCGGUGUGGGAUGAGCUCGCGGCCUAUCAGCUUGUUGGUGGGGUAAUGGCCUACCAAGGCGUCGACGGGUAGCCGGCCUGAGAGGGUGUACGGCCACAUUGGGACUGAGAUACGGCCCAGACUCCUACGGGGGGCAGCAGUGGGGAAUAUUGCACAAUGGGCGCAAGCCUGAUGCAGCGACGCCGCGUGGGGGAUGACGGCCUUCGGGUUGUAAACUCCUUUCGCUAGGGACGAAGCGUUUUUGUGACGGUACCUGGAGAAGAAGCACAGGCUAACUACGUG